CUAAGACAAAAUGAUAAAAACACAAUCUGCGUACCACUGAAAAUACCAUGGCAACAGAUGUAAAAUUUAUUACUUGAAGUGUUCCUUAGUGUUCUUGUAUUUGCAGGAACAGUUGGCUUUGUAUUCGUGUACCUGAGGAAGUUGCAACCAGAUCAGGAGGCUAGCAUUUAUAGCUAUGGAUCAUGAGGAAUAAACAAGACAAGUGCAAUUUUAACCUGUACCUGAAUAAGGUGUAAAUGUUCAGAGGCCAGUUCUUUACACAAGGGACCGAGUGCUUGUUCUCAACCAAGUUGCAUGCAAGUCGGAAGACUAGUUUACAUCACUAUAGAUCAGGCA